AACCAUCACCUCUCCCUCCCCUCGUCCUCCUCUCCGGCCACCGGGAACCCUAAGAUUUAGAUCUCCAACGAUUUAGAUCUCAGACGAUGAGGGAGAUCCUGCACAUCCAGGGUGGGCAAUGUGGGAACCAGAUCGGGGCUAAGUUCUGGGAGGUGAUAUGCGACGAGCAUGGCAUCGACGGCAGCGGCAGGUACAACGGUGACUCUGAACUCCAGCUCGAGCGGAUUAAUGUUUACUACAACGAGGCCAGCGGGGGUCGAUACGUCCCCCGGGCGGUGCUCAUGGAUCUCGAGCCUGGCACGAUGGACUCCGUCAGAUCCGGGCCGUUCGGCCAGAUCUUCAGGCCGGAUAACUUCGUCUUCGGGCAGUCCGGCGCCGGGAACAACUGGGCAAAGGGCCACUACACUGAGGGCGCGGAGCUCAUUGAUUCGGUACUCGAUGUAGUGCGGAAGGAGGCAGAGAACUGUGAUUGCUUGCAAGGGUUCCAAGUCUGCCAUUCUUUAGGAGGAGGUACUGGUUCUGGCAUGGGCACACUUCUCAUCUCCAAGAUCAGAGAGGAGUAUCCAGAUCGCAUGAUGCUGACAUUCUCUGUUUUUCCAUCACCAAAGGUCUCUGAUACAGUUGUGGAACCAUAUAAUGCUACUCUCUCAGUGCAUCAGCUUGUUGAGAAUGCUGAUGAAUGUAUGGUGCUGGACAAUGAAGCAUUGUAUGACAUUUGCUUCCGCACGCUAAAGCUUGCAACCCCAACCUUCGGAGAUCUUAAUCACCUCAUCUCUGCUACAAUGAGUGGUGUCACCUGCUGCCUCCGGUUCCCUGGUCAGCUCAAUUCUGACCUCCGGAAGCUUGCCGUGAACCUGAUUCCCUUCCCCCGCCUCCACUUCUUCAUGGUGGGGUUCGCACCACUGACAUCAAGGGGCUCCCAGCAAUACAGGGCCCUCACUGUUCCUGAGUUGACCCAACAGAUGUGGGAUGCCAAGAACAUGAUGUGUGCUGCCGACCCCCGUCACGGCCGUUACCUGACCGCCUCAGCCAUGUUCCGUGGAAAGAUGAGCACCAAGGAGGUCGAUGAGCAGAUGAUCAAUGUUCAGAACAAGAACAGCUCCUACUUCGUCGAGUGGAUACCAAACAAUGUCAAAUCCAGUGUGUGUGACAUUCCACCCAAGGGGCUGAAGAUGGCAUCCACUUUCAUUGGGAACUCAACCUCCAUCCAGGAGAUGUUCAGGCGGGUGAGCGAGCAGUUCACCGCCAUGUUCAGGAGGAAGGCUUUCUUGCACUGGUACACUGGCGAGGGCAUGGACGAGAUGGAGUUCACUGAGGCCGAGAGCAAUAUGAAUGACUUGGUGGCAGAGUAUCAGCAGUAUCAGGAUGCAACAGCUGAUGUGGAAGAUUAUGAGGAAGAGGAAGAGGAAGGGGAGGAAGCUUGAGCUGAUUCUCUUUUUCCCAGCUUGGCUUGAGAUGGACUUGGUUAUGUUUGUACCAUGAAGGACAUGCUUGAACACUGGAUUGGCGUCGGACCGGUGUGCGUACUUCGAUUACAAAGACUAAGGCUGUGGAGGAUUGAUGACAACGAUGAAUUUCUUUGGCAGAGAGCUUAGUGCAAAUCUAAAAAGAACUUGUAGCAUGCAUCUCCACCAAGAAGGUAUUUUACAUUGUGCAAACUUUCUUCUGUUUUUUCCCGUAGUAGUGUACUAUUAUUUAUUUUAUAAAGUGCAUUCAUAAAUUAUAGACUAGCAAUAUAUAUACAUUCAUAGAGGGUUUGUAGGAGCUAAAUACAGCGUUCAAUGAAAAUUAUGAAUUUAAACUGUAAAUCUCACACUUAUCUGAACUACAUCUGACAAAAAAGUGACAGAUGAUAAGGUUGCUGCUUGAGCUAUUUUCUGAGACUAGCUGUUCAUACUUGAACUUCGGCAGCAAAUGCAUUGUUCCCAGACUCGUUGUUCAAGUAACUUUUUACCAUGUAAUGGCUAGUAUUUUAAUCAAUGUGAUUAAUGUUGUAAUAGGAGGCAGGUUUGGAUCUCAAUCAGUGAGCUAAUGACAUGCACUUAGUGAUCAGUGCUCCUCAUGCAACGGAAACACAAUCAUGGACCAUUCUAAAGCUGAGAGAGAAUAGAGAAGGUGAUCUCUUCAACUUGAUCUUUCAGUACAUUCAUGAGAGGAGGUUUUAGUAAAUAAAGCAAUAUCCAUUUAACUUUGUUUAUGUGAGAGAACUCAAAUCAGAUAUCAUUAAUUCUCAUAAAGUUUUCUUUGUUUAUGCUCCUUUACGUAGUAACAAUCUUUGGGAUUAGAGCUACUUACAUAUUUCCUCUUAUAAUUUGGACCAUUUAGCAUCGAUGUUUCUGUACUUGGAAAAAAUUACACUAGAAUCCCAAUGGCCAUGAAAUUACUGUAUUUGACUCUGUUUGUAACAACGAUGUCUAUUUCUUUGAUGGAAGCUGUUGCAUGUGAUAUCAUGUGCUGAUUCAACGAUUAAGUGAAGAGCAAAAUGAUCAUUUCAUGGAAUACGAUUGUGGUACAAAGGGGCUGGUAGUUUUGAAUGGCCCUGCGUCCACUUCACCAUGUUGCCCCAAAUCUUUCUCCCAGGGUUUGCAGCAAAUCUUUUCGCAAUCAACAAAUCCUCCUCUAGAACAUCGCAAUGCCAGGUCAGAGUUCUAGCUUGAGUUCGAAUACGAAUGGAUUAUGCUAUUGUGGUAUGCGAUUUGCGGUGAUGAUCUCUUGGACAGAGUAGAACCCUUGGAGGCGGUUUGCUUCAUGUCAAAUACUACAUGUGAGUUCGACGAUCAAAUAUCCUUGCCAUUCUUCUGAUCUUUUUGUUUAUUAGUUGCAUAGCUGGCCUUUUUUUGACCGGAAGUUGUUGAUCCACCUAUGCGUGACCAUGUGAAUGCCGAUAACCCGUCCUUGUUUAUGCUGUAACAGAAAUAUGGGGGAUGCUAAUUUUUUGUUUGGAUUGAUCCACCUGUGUAAACGAGCAAACAAAUAAAUUUCAUGUUUGCUGUGAAAAGUGAACAUCCUUGAGAAAUUAUAUUGGGAAGCUUUGAUCA